rnacentral:rRNA from 1 species
UACGUAGGGGGCUAGCGUUGUCCGGAUUUAUUGGGCGUAAAGGGCGCGUAGGCGGCUUUGCAAGUGACGGGUGAAAUCCCUCGGCUUAACCGAGGAGCUGCCUGUCAAACUGCAUGGCUUGAGACCGGGAGAGGUGAGUGGAAUUCCCAGUGUAGCGGUGAAAUGCGUAGAUAUUGGGAGGAACACCAGUGGCGAAGGCGGCUCACUGGACCGGUACUGACGCUGAUGCGCGAAAGCGUGGGGAGCAAACAGGG